rnacentral:rRNA from 1 species
UACGGGGGGGGCAAGCGUUGUUCGGAAUUACUGGGCGUAAAGGGCUCGUAGGCGGCCAACUAAGUCGGAUGUGAAAUCCCCAAGCUUAACUUGGGAACUGCAUCCGAUACUGGAUGGCUUGAAUCCGGGAGAGGGAUGCAGAAUUCCAGGUGUAGCGGUGAAAUGCGUAGAUAUCUGGAGGAAUACCGGUGGCGAAGGCGGCAUCCUGGACCGGCAUUGACGCUGAGGAGCGAAAGCUAGGGGAGCCAAACGG